UGGGGAAUAUUGCACAAUGGGCGCAAGCCUGAUGCAGCAACGCCGCGUGAACGAUGAAGGUCUUCGGAUCGUAAAGUUCUGUUGCAGGGGAAGAUAAUGACGGUACCCUGUGAGGAAGCCCCGGCUAACUACGUGCCAGCAGCCGCGGUAAUACGUAGGGGGCUAGCGUUAUCCGGAAUUAUUGGGCUUAAAGGGCAUCUAGGCGGUAAGACAAGUUGAAGGUGAAAACCUGUGGCUCAACCAUAGGCUUGCCUACAAAACUGUUGAACUAGAGUACUGGAAAGGUGGGUGGAACUACACGAGUAGAGGUGAAAUUCGUAGAUAUGUGUAGGAAUGCCGAUGAUGAAGAUAACUCACUGGACAGAAACUGACGCUGAAGUGCGAAAGCUAGGGGAGCAAACAGG
rnacentral:rRNA from 1 species